ensembl:lncRNA
CCGUCCAGUGCAUGUUGGCAUCAGGCCGGCUCCCUGGCUCUGAUGACACUGUCCUGGUUGGAGUAGGUCUCUUUCUGGUCACGUGUGUGGGUGAGGAUGUAGUUCGGGAGGAUAGGGGAUGGGUAGUAGUUGCCACCAUCCAAACUUGUCCUUAAUGCCCUCCUCUAUGCACAGGUGCCCCGCAUCUCAUUACUUGGUGUCCUCUACUGCUAGCCACCUCCUCCCCUCCCCAGCCCAGACUUGCUACCUGCUCCAGAAUAAUCUAGAUUCCCUUCAUGCUUCUCCUCCUCCCUGGAGUCUGGGCUCAGCUGAACAGCUGGGAGGAAUGAGAUUAGAUUGUAUGAUUCAUGCUUUAGAUGUGAAGCCCUGGCAGAAUAACGUGUCACCUGACUCCAGGGGCAUUUUCAUCUUAAUGGGCAGCUCCCUGACCCAGAGUAAAAAGGGAAGUCAUGGAUGGUAAUGAAUACUCCAUCAGGAGAGGGGUUGUACAAUUGUGGGGAUGUGGUAGACUCAAGCCCCGUAUGGAUGUUGGAUGAAUCAGUAAUUUUCAAACUAGCAUCUGUACAGAGAUUAGUGUUGGGAGCUGAAAGUGUAAGUCACUCAGUCCAUCUGACUCUUUGCGACUCCAUGGACAAUCCAUGGAAUUCUCCAGGCCAGAAUGCUGGAGUCGGUAGCCUUUCUCUUCUCCAGGGGAUCUUCCCAACCCAGGGAUCGAACUCAGGUUCUCCCACAUUGCAGGCCAAUUCUUUACCAGCUGAACCACCAGGGAAACCCUGCUGGUGGGAACUAGCAAAAGAAUAAAGUAGAAGAGGGAGGUUCAAAGACCCCCAUCCUUGUUUCAAGUCCAGUAGCUUAAAAUUUUUUUAAGGAAGAGUUUGCUGCUGUCAGACAUAGUGAGGUGGAUGACCAAUCCUAUUUCAGAUUCUCUAAUUCUCAGGAGGAAUAUGCAUGAGUGUGUGCUCGGUCGCUGAGUUGUGUCCCCCUGGACUGUAACACACAAUGCUCCGCUGUCCAUGGGAUUUUCCAGGCAAGAAUACUGGAGUGGGUUGCCAUUUCCUUCUCCAGAGGAUCUUCUUGACCCAGGGAUUGAACCUGUGUCUCCUGUUUUGACAAGUGAAUUCUUCACCACUCAGCCACCUGGGAUGCUCAGAUAGUAGGAACCCUGCACACUAAAAAGUGAAUGUUUAUGUUGACAAAGACCGCAGAGCAUACAGGGCCUCCCUCACUGGGACCACACAGAGGACAGACCAAGAAGCCCCACAUCACAACAUCCUCCUGAUGCCUGGGCUGGGCUGGAGCUCACAUGAGGUACUUUGAUUUCUUCUGCAGACUCUCAGUGACAGAUGCUAGAACUGACUUGUCAUCUUUGUCUGAAAGAGCAAAGAAAGUUUUUGUCAGUGUGAAUGACCCUAGGGACAAGGGAACCUCCAAACUCCUGGACUUUGAGUCACUAUGCAGAAACCAGAGGCUGGACCCUGCCUAGGAUCCUCAGUCCUUUCCAGCUGCAGUCUGCCAAGGUCAGCCGAGUGUGUGGGGCCAAGAGUUGCCAGUUAUUCAUUUAAUGUAUGCCACGCAUAGUGCCAGGUGCUUCUAUGCACUAUCUCAUUUAAUCCUCAUAACAGCCUUAAGAAGUAGAUGAGAAAACAAGCUUAGAGUGGCUUGCCAAGGUCACAUGGCUGAUUAGUAUUAGAGCCAGGGCCUUGUGCCCAUGUGCUUAAACCAGAAUUAAGUUGUCAGGGAUCUCUCUAGCUGUGGAAUGAGAGCUGGAUGUCUCCCAUGGUGCCUUCCCUGGCCUAGUUCUGUUACACAGUUCAGCAGCCACUGUGGAGGCAUCAUCUCAGUGCCAGGCACUUAGCUGAGUACUUGAGAGACAGAGCAACAGGACAUGGUCCUUUCCCCAGAGAAAGACAUCUGCAACAGGAUGGUUACAGUCUGUAACCAUGGAGACUGUGGACACCAAUACAUGCCAUGGAAACUUCAGAGAGUGGCAGAGGAGGAGGCUGGAGAGGUAGGUGGUGGGCAGUGAGUUUA